rnacentral:rRNA from 1 species
UACGAAGGGGGCUAGCGUUGCUCGGAAUUACUGGGCGUAAAGCGCACGUAGGCGGCUCUUUAAGUCGGGGGUGAAAUCCUGGAGCUCAACUCCAGAACUGCCUUCGAUACUGAAGAGCUCGAGUCCGGGAGAGGUGAGUGGAACUGCGAGUGUAGAGGUGAAAUUCGUAGAUAUUCGCAAGAACACCAGUGGCGAAGGCGGCUCACUGGCCCGGUACUGACGCUGAGGUGCGAA